rnacentral:lncRNA from 1 species
ACAUCUACAGACUCAACAUUCAUAUGCAAUACUCACACACUUCAGAAACAGGUGAUCACAAUAUUAGUACAUCAAUUCCCAAGUAUCAAUGUACAUUUUUUCCCCACAGCACUUGCUAAAAUCAAUUUGAAACAAGCAUUUGGUUUACUUAUUAAAGUUAACACACUUUGACACACUGAAUUUGUUAUAAAAUAUGACUUGGUAUGAAAUAUAUAUUAUUCCAGGUUGACAUAUACAUGUUUUGGUCAUUGUUGGUGUUUGUAUGUUUUAAUCGAAUGAUUUUAGUGAAAUAAUCAAUAAAUCUUAACGCCAGGUCACAAUGUACAACUUGCAAAAAUUACAAUUUAAAUAAUAUAAAUAGUUUUUUUAUACCCCAUAUUAAUUUUUGGUAUAACGUUGUCUGUUGUCAACAUGUCGGACACUAGCUCAAAAACAGUUUAAUCAAUAUUUAGAUUAUACUUGGUGAAUUGUUUAUCUAUUGACUAGAGCUCCAUUUUGGUUUUUUUUUAACAAAUUUCAUAUUAUAUGUUUCCUAGUUUUGGUUUUUUUUUCUUCUGUUUAUUAAUUUCUGUCCUCAUUACUUUAUAGAAUGCCUAAGAGGAAGUAAAGGUAGAAUGUGCCAUAUCACAGGAAAAGACGUGGAACUGGCAAACCAAAAUUAGACAAAGGGCAAACUGAAAUACAUGCACUUACGCCAGACAUCGCACAUGAUGAAGAUCUUUUGUCAUCUGAAACAGAAGAGCUUACAUGCACCAGUGUGGAUUCAGUCUCUUUGGAUCAUUCAUAUUUGUCUGAUAACCAGACAGUGGCAGAACUUUGUUUAGAUGAAGAAAUUGAUGUUAAUCAACAUAUUAAACUUGAAUGCAAAAAAGAAUGUGUAAUAUCUUAUUUAUAUGUUCACGGCAUCGAACUAAGUAGAGAACAUGACAUCUGGUUAGGAUUGCCAAGUGUGUAUGACAACAUAACAAGUAUUGAGAGACUAUUGUCUAAAUUAAAGAGUUACACUGUUUGUGUAUACAUGUAUAUAUGUAAUAUAUGUUGUGUUUGAGAUAAAUAGAUUUAAAUCUAAAUUGCUUUAGUUUGAGUUUCAACUUCUGCCUUUUAUGACAAGUUUCUAAUACACAUGUACAUGCAAAAUUAUGGAUGAUAAAUAUGAACAAUAUUAAUCAUAUUA